UACGUAGGGUGCGAGCGUUAAUCGGAAUUACUGGGCGUAAAGCGUGCGCAGGCGGUUCGUGAUGUCUGAUGUGAAAGCCCCGGGCUCAACCUGGGAAUUGCAUUGGAAACUAGCGGGCUGGAGUGUGGCAGAGGGGGGUGGAAUUCCACGUGUAGCAGUGAAAUGCGUAGAGAUGUGGAGGAACACCAAUGGCGAAGGCAGCUCGCUGGGACGGUACUGACGCUGAGGCGCGAAAGCGUGGGGAGCAAACAGG
rnacentral:rRNA from 1 species